GGAAGCUAGAAAAAAUAAAAUAUUAAGAAAAUCAGAAAAUACAUUUACAGUACUGUAUUUACUGAAAAAGAAAUCCAUGUGUAAGUGGACCUGCUUAGCUCAAACCCGUGUGGCGCCCCGGUUAACCGUACUUUAAAUGUGAAAGGUCUAAAUACAUCAAUAAAAA